GACCUCAGAUCAGGCAAGACUACCCGCUGAAUUUAAGCAUAUCAAUAAGCGGAGGAAAAGAAACUAACAAGGAUUCCCCCAGUAACGGCGAGUGAAGCGGGAAGA
rnacentral:rRNA from 1 species